UACUCUUGCUUUCUACCCUGGUGAUAUGACAUACUUUUGCUUUGGUGUCAUUUGUUUGCAGAGGCACCCCAAGGAAUAAGGAAUACUGAGUGACUUGAGAGGCUUCGUUGGGAAGACAUUCUCGGAGAUGAAGAAAGGUUCUCAGAGAUGAAGAAAGGUUCUGUAUGUCUGCCUUGCUAUGGAGGGUGAAGGUGGGCAGUUAUAGGAAGUUAUUUAAUACCUGUAGAGGUACUAUUUUUUCACUCGUGUCGGCAACCAUU
rnacentral:lncRNA from 1 species